UACGGAGGGGCUAGCGUUGUUCGGAAUUACUGGGCGUAAAGCGUGCGCAGGCGGCUUCUCAAGUCAGGGGUGAAAGCCCAGAGCUCAACUCUGGAAUUGCCUUUGAGACUGAGUGGCUUGAGUACGAGAGAGGUGAGUGGAAUUCCCAGUGUAGAGGUGAAAUUCGUAGAUAUUGGGAAGAACACCGGUGGCGAAGGCGGCUCACUGGCUCGUAACUGACGCUCAUGCACGGACAGCGUGGGGAUCAAACAGG
rnacentral:rRNA from 1 species